rnacentral:siRNA from 1 species
AUAGGCUAUAGGAGAUGACAUAAG